UAGGGAAUAUUGGGCAAUGGGCGAAAGCCUGACCCAGCAACACCGCGUGAAUGAUGAAGGUCUUCGGAUUGUAAAGUUCUGUGAUGGGGGACGAAGAAAGUGACGGUACCCCAAGAGCAAGCCACGGCUAACUACGUGCCAGCAGCCGCGGUAAUACGUAGGUGGCAAGCGUUGUCCGGAAUGACUGGGCGUAAAGGGUACGUAGGUGGCUAUUCAAGUUAAUGGUGAAAUUCCGGGGCUUAACUCCGGCGCUACCAUUAAGACUGUUUAGCUUGAGUGCAGGAGGGGUAAGUGGAAUUCCUAGUGUAGCGGUGGAAUGCGUAGAUAUUAGGAGGAACACCAGUGGCGAAGGCGGCUUGCUGGACGACAACUGACGCUGAGGCGCGAAAGCGUGGGGAGCAAACAGGAUUAGAUACCCUGGUAGU
rnacentral:rRNA from 1 species